UACGAAGGGGGCUAGCGUUGUUCGGAGUUACUGGGCGUAAAGGGCGCGUAGGCGGCCUGAUCAGUCUGGUGUGAAAGCCCGGGGCUCAACCCCGGAAUUGCACUGGAGACGGUCAAGCUUGAGUGUGGGAGAGGAUGGUGGAAUUCCCAGUGUAGAGGUGAAAUUCGUAGAUAUUGGGAAGAACACCGGUGGCGAAGGCGGCCAUCUGGACCAUUACUGACGCUGAGGCGCGAAAGCGUGGGGAGCAAACAGG
rnacentral:rRNA from 1 species